rnacentral:rRNA from 1 species
ACGAACGCUGGCGGCAUGCCUAACACAUGCAAGUCGAACGCCCCGCAAGGGGAGUGGCGCACGGGUGAGUAACGCGUGGGGAUCUGCCCAUCGGUGGGGAAUAACCUCGGGAAACUGAGGCUAAUACCGCAUACGCCCUGUAAAGGGGAAAGAUUUAUUGCCGAGGGAUGAGCCCGCGUAGGAUUAGCUAGUUGGUGGGGUAAUGGCCUACCAAGGCGACGAUCCUUAGCUGGUCUGAGAGGAUGAUCAGCCACACUGGGACUGAGACACGGCCCAGACUCCUACGGGAGGCAGCAGUGGGGAAUAUUGGACAAUGGGCGAAAGCCUGAUCCAGCAAUGCCGCGUGAGUGAUGAAGGCCUUAGGGUUGUAAAGCUCUUUUACCCGGGAUGAUAAUGACAGUACCGGGAGAAUAAGCUCCGGCUAACUCCGU